rnacentral:rRNA from 1 species
CCUACGGGAGGCAGCAGUGGGGAAUAUUGGACAAUGGGGGCAACCCUGAUCCAGCCAUGCCGCGUGUGUGAAGAAGGCCCUCGGGUUGUAAAGCACUUUCAGCGAGGAAGAACGCCUAGCGGUUAAUACCCGCUAGGAAAGACAUCACUCGCAGAAGAAGCACCGGCUAACUCCGUGCCAGCAGCCGCGGUAAUACGGAGGGUGCAAGCGUUAAUCGGAAUUACUGGGCGUAAAGCGCGCGUAGGUGGCUUGAUAAGCCGGUUGUGAAAGCCCCAGGCUCAACCUGGGAACGGCAUCCGGAACUGUCAAGCUAGAGUGCAGGAGAGGAAGGUAGAAUUCCCGGUGUAGCGGUGAAAUGCGUAGAGAUCGGGAGGAAUACCAGUGGCGAAGGCGGCCUUCUGGACUGACACUGACACUGAGGUGCGAAAGCGUGGGUAGCAAACAGGAUUAGAUACCCUGGUAGUCCACGCCGUAAACGAUGUCGACCAGCCGUUGGGUGCCUAGCGCACUUUGUGGCGAAGUUAACGCGAUAAGUCGACCGCCUGGGGAGUACGGCCGCAAGGUUAAAACUCAAAUGAAUUGACGGA